GCUUUCGUGGUGUAGUGGUCAGAACUCUAGGUUCGUAUUCCAGAGGUCCGUGGUUCGAGUCCCGGCGAAGGAG
rnacentral:tRNA from 1 species